AUUUAUUUGAGGUCUGCAUCCCAGACUCAGAAUGCUGGCUUUCCCAUUAUCAACCCAUUUGGGCUCAGGUUGACUGAGCCCCUACCUAACCCAACAAGCUGAGUUAUAAAAAAAAAUGAACCAGCAAUUUUGGUGUACAUCUGAUAUGCUCAUAUUGCAUGUGCACACAAGUUGAGACCUUUAUCACAGAGUCGCAUAGAAACAGUGACAUGGUAUUUGUCAUAAAGUCACUUCCUCUACUUUUCUCUACUUGCUUUUGUACAUACCCAUGUACUGUACUGUAUGUUCACAGUCUGAGAUUUCUGUCCUUAAAAGCUUUCAUAGAAUCUGUUUUUCUCUCUUUUUUCACUUCUGCCUCCUUCUCCCACCAGAGUAAGUGUAUCCAAUCCAUUUUCUGUCAGAGUGAUGGAUUUGACUUGCUCACUAGAAAUGCUACUUGAUAGCUUAGCUUGUUAGCUUACACACUGCUGUGUCUGAGAUAGACAGACUGUUGUUGUCUUGCUAGUGACUCAUUCCAGCUCAUGCAACUAAGUUACUAGUGCCAACAGGGCUGGAGUGGUCUGUCCCUACAUUGGCCUUACACCAAUGUAGGGACAAUGUUGUCAACCUGAGCUUCUCUGGUUCAUGGUUAGGAGUAGUGUACAUGUACCUCUUGAAUUUGGAAGUGCUUCCAACCAGAAGUGCUCCGGCAGCCAUUUUACAAUUCCCUACCAACAGAGGGCGGCGACCGCCAACGGACGAAAACUGUCAAGAUGACCUGAUGUGCUGCUCUUAACUGCAAAACAACGUUGCUAAAGUAUGUAGCAGAAGUGCCCACAGAUUGUAAUUUAUACAGAUCAUGUACCUAUUAAACACAAAUGCGUCAUUAUCCCCAUGUAUAGUGGGGAUAACGGUCAUAAUCUUUUGCAACAACCGGCUCAUUGGUAUUAUAAAGUCUGGUUGGAGUUCUCAUCACUUGGAAAUCACUUGCUGUUGCUGAGAGUAGCACCACAUGGACAGCCUAAACAUGAGUGAGAUUAGUGAGGAUGGAACUACUUAAAAACCAUGAAGAUGGCUUUCAAACUGAUAUUAACAGUAUUGCUACAAUGAUUUAUGACUACAAUUGCUAUGAUAGCUUUAGGACUGCAAUUGCCAUGAUCAGUUCUGCACUCAUGUCUCAUGGUUAUGAAUUUCCUGCUUACGCUAUUGCACUUUUUGACCAGUACAUAGUUAUAGAAGGAAAUUAUUUAUAAUCGCACUAUCCGUUGUCACUCAGAUGAAGAUGGAUUCCCUUUUGAGUCUGGUUCCUCUCAAGGUUUCUUCUGCAAAAUGUCUCAGGGAGCUUUUCCUUGCCACCAUCACCUCUGGCUUGCUCAUUAGGGAUAAAUUUAUAAAAUAAAUUUUACAUCCUGAAUUUAUACAUUUCUGUACAGGUGCUUUGUGACAAUGUCCAUUGUUAAAAGUGCUAUACAAAUACAAUUCAAGUGAACUGAAUUGAAUUGACUUGAACUGAAUGUGCACUUCUUGAAUAGUAAGGAGACCAUUUGAAGGGCAGACAUUCACAAAUAUAUUUGUAAAGUAUAGGUUUUUAAACCAUUUAAACACAGGUAAGGUGUCCUUUACAAAAACCUAUGUGCAUGCUUCAGAUAACUAACUUGGGGUUUGGGAUAGAGCCUUGAACAUUUAAAAGUUUUUCAAGGUGCUUGCAACAAAUAAUUCAGGCAAUAAUUUAAUAAUUACAGCAGAGAAAGAAAAGCUCUGUGUAUCCACCAGAUAAUCUA
ensembl:lncRNA